UGGCCGAGCAGUGGAUGAAGUUCGGUUGGCCCAAAACCUAGCAAAAGCAAGCGAGGUUAUUCUAUCGCCGAAAUGCUGGGAACUCUGUAACAGGAACAUGAUAGAAAUAGAAACAAUUAAAGAUCAAAGAUCUGUUAAGGCUAGAUACAUAAAGAACAUCUCUGAGAUUGAGUUCGACGAGUUCUUCUGGAAAUGUACUGAAUACCUACAGCACUACCCCACGGGUGAAAGUAACAGUAUCCUCAGAGCAACCUCCACAUUGUCUCCUAAUGAUGAGCUGGAGAAGUCCCUCCGGAAGUAUGUGAUGAGAAACAUUCUGGAGAAG